CUUCUGAGCCUACAAGUGACAGUCACGCAUUCUGAACACGAGCCAUGAGCUCUUGGUCAUGCUUCCAGAUCCAAGGGGCACUCCAGCAGUUACCAGUACAGCAUACCAAACUGCCCUGAAGUAGGUCCUUUGUCCCUUCCCACUCAGCAUCAGUUGCUUGCGUCUUUUGGAAGAUGCUGCCUGGGGCCCAGCAGAGCUGGAGGUGAUGGAAGCUUAAAGCAGAGGGCCAUAGGGUUUGUGCCAUCUUUCACCAGGUUCUAUAUGACAGACAUUUCAGUUCUUUCACCCUGUACUGAAUUAAGGUGCGGCUAAGGACUUUGGUCAUGAGAUGUGGCAUUGUUCCAACCUGAAAGACGGGGGGAAGGAAGGAGGGAGAAAGGUUACUCCCAGCUGUCCACUGCUGCACUCUUUGCUCCUUUGUUUCUGGUGAUCACUGCUGCAGUAAAAAUUGUUAGUAGCUGCAUGAGGAAAGCUAGCUGAGCUGGGGCAUCUCUGCUCUUUAACUAAGAAUUUCAUCCAGCGUCAGUAAUUUUCCCUUUGAGCCCUCUUGCUAAAUGUCCUUGGUGGCGGAUGAAUCCUGAGCAUUUAAGGAUGGGAACCGAGCUGUUGAAAGGAACAAGUUGUCUCAUACCCAACCUCUUGGAGAUACCAAACCAAACUUGCAAAAAUGUACUGAUGAAGAACUAAAUAGUAUUGGCUGGAGAUAAAGAAAUCCCAGACUUUCCUUAUCACUAUUUUUGUAAGCAAUACUGAUGGAAAUACAGGAAGAACUGUGAUGAUCACAGAAUUGAAGUGCUGACAAUAGGUUUGUCUGUGCUAAGUGUGCUGAAUCCUGCUGGUUUGUGAAGAUCUUCAGGCCAAGUGGAGCAGUGUGACACACUCUGAAGGUACCUGAAGGGACAUAAGUUAUAUUUAUAAGGUGGGAGGCUGGAGAAAAAUGUAAGGAAAUACAGCUGAUAAUAUUGGACAAUUCUUGGUUGCUCUGCUCCUAAGCAAAGUGCAAGAUCUGCCGAAGAGAUGUUUCUCCUGCUCUGUAUAGGACGCUGGCUGAUCUGCCCUGUUGUGGAUCUUGUUG
ensembl:lncRNA